GUACUGAAGAUGGAUGGGGAUCAUUAGGUUUCUCUUAUUAUAUUGUCCCACAAAUAUCUUAACCGUUUGUGUGCUGGAGAGGCAAAUAUUUGACUUCCUUGGAUAUCAGUGGGCACCUAUCCUGGCAAAUUUUGUACAUAUUAUUAUCGUCAUUCUUGGUUUGUUUGGAACUAUUCAGUAUAGACCUCGUUACAUAACAGGAUAUGCUGUCUGGCUAGUCCUCUGGGUUACGUGGAAUGUGUUUGUUAUCUGCUUCUAUUUGGAGGCUGGGGACCUCUCAAAGCACCCAUCUGUGAACUGGUGGAAGGAGCCAUGUUUAUGAAACUCAGAGAGUGGAAGAAAGCACUAGAACUGCAAAUCCAGAAUUUCAGUCUACAGAGUAAGGAAGGGACAAGGCUGGUCCUGCAUCUAUUCCUGUAGACCCUGCAAUGCCAGGGGAUAUAGCACAAGGCCAUUGUAAGUUCCAUGAGGAACUAGGAAAGAGAAAAAAAAAGAGAAGCAUCUAAAAAUGUGUUAAAAGUUCACAUUUCUGGUGCUGUUUUGGGCAUUUUUAUGGGAAAGUUCUUUGUAAGUAAUACAAUAUCUUUGAAAGAAA
rnacentral:sRNA from 1 species